rnacentral:rRNA from 1 species
GACGAACGCUGGCGGCGUGCCUAAUACAUGCAAGUCGAACGCUGAAGGAGGAGCUUGCUCUUCUGGAUGAGUUGCGAACGGGUGAGUAACGCGUAGGUAACCUGCCUGUGAGCGGGGGAUAACUAUUGGAAACGAUAGCUAAUACCGCAUAACAGUAGAUGUUGCAUGGCGUGGGCUGAAAAGUUUCAGUUGCACCACUACCAGAUGCGCCUGCGUUGUAUUAGCGAGUUGGUGGGGUAACGGCUCACCAAGGCGACGAUACGUAGUCGCACGGAGGGGGGGAUCGGCCACACUGGGACGGAGACCCGGCACAGAGGCAUAGGGGAGGAAGCAGGAGGGAAUCUUCGGGAAUGGACGGAAGUCUGAGCGCGAAACGCCGAGUGCGUGAAGAAGGUUGUCGGAUCGGAAAGCUCGGUUGUAAGAGAAGAAAGAGUGUGAGCGUGGAAAGUUCACACUGUGACGGUAUCUUAUCAGAAAGGGACGGCUAACUACGUG